UACGGAGGGGGCUAGCGUUGUUCGGAAUUACUGGGCGUAAAGCGCACGUAGGCGGCUUGGUAAGUUAGAGGUGAAAGCCUGGAGCUCAACUCCAGAAUUGCCUUUAAGACUGCCGAGCUAGCAGGUGAGAGAGGUGAGUGGAAUUCCGAGUGUAGAGGUGAAAUUCGUAGAUAUUCGGAAGAACACCAGUGGCGAAGGCGGCUCACUGGCCUGGUAUUGACGCUGAGGUGCGAAAGCGUGGGGAGCAAACAGG
rnacentral:rRNA from 1 species